AGCAGCCGCGGUAAUUCCAGCUCCAAUAGCGUAUAUUAAAGUUGUUGCAGUUAAAAAGCUCGUAGUUGAAUUUCGGGAUCAAUAUGUUGGUCGUGCCUUGGUACGUACUGGCAUUAUCGAUUCCUACCUUCUGAAGAACCUCGAUGUCAUUAAUUUGGUGUCUUGGGGAAUCAGGACUGUUACUUUGAAAAAUUAGAGUGUUUAAAGCAGGCUCGCGCUUGAAUACAUUAGCAUGGAAUAAUGAAAUAGGACGUUUGAUUCUAUUUUGUUGGUUUCUAGGAUCGACGUAAUGAUUAAUAGGGAUAGUUGGGGGCAUUAGUAUUCAAUUGUCAGAGGUGAAAUUCUUGGAUUUAUUGAAGACUAACUACUGCGAAAGCAUUUGCCAAGGAUGUUUUCAUUAAUCUAAGAACGAAAGUUAGGGGAUCGAAGACGAUCAGAUACCGUCGUAGUCUUAACCAUAAACUAUGCCGACUAGGGAUC
rnacentral:rRNA from 1 species